AUGUCAUAUCCUCUGUGGCGAAAAACUUUUCACCACCAUAACCUAAACUGUGUUUCCUUUACAAAGGCCCAAUGUGCUUCUCUUGACUUCUCUCUGUCGUUUAAAAGUGUCAACAAUGCUUGGAACAUUGCAGGCCCUCGAGUCUGGGUCGGCAGGCUACACGGUGACAGCUGGAGAGAUAUUGCUUUUCCUCCCAGUUUAUUGAGCGGCCAGGGGAGGGGCGACUGUGUCUCCGUACGUGACGGGCUAAAAAGGAAGGAAGGAGGUGUGUGUGUGUGUGUGUGUGUGUGUGUGUGUGUGUGUGUGUGUGUGUGUGUGUGUGUGUGUGUGUGUGUGUGUGUGUGUGUGUGUGUGUGUGUGUGUGUGUGUGUGUGUGUGUGUGUGUGUGUGUGUGUGUGUGUGUGUGUGUGUGUGUGUGUGUGUGUGUGGCUGGUAGGUGUCAUGGGUGGCUGGAGGACAUGUAUCAUCAAUUUGCUUGUUGGAGCUUCCUGUACAUGAGGUGGCAUUAAAAUGAUCCAUGGCCUCUUUCCUGGGCUAAUACUAAUGAUAUUGAGAUGUCAGCCUUUUUUUUUUUGUUCCAUGGAUUUAAAGGACACACACACACACACACACACACACACACACACACACACACACACCCCUGCAGAGCCUAAACAGACAAGACAGGAGGAGAGAAUUCUUCCACGGGGGCUGAGGUGAUAAUCUAAUAGGGACAUUUGUUUUUGUUUCCUGCUCGUGCCUCACUCCUCACUUCCUCCCUCCUCUCCGAGCGCACUGAAACAAAAGCCGCCGUCGAGGGGCCCCCGCUGCUGCUGCCGCCGCCGCCGCCUCUGUGGCGUAUAAAUAACAGUCGCACGGCAGCAAAAACAAGUGUAACACACACCAUCUGGCCCUCCACCAGUGUCUGCCUCCGUCACACAGGCAGGAGCGGUGUAAAGAAGGGGGAGAUCAGAUGAACAGAAUCACACACCUCAGGAGCGAUGUCGCGCGGAAGCCAAAAUCUUAUAGUUGCAGUCACUUAGAAAAAUAACUAUUUCAUAAUGAAUAGCAAUUUCUUAUUUUAAAGGCAGCAAAAUGUGCCUCACUUGGCUGAAUUGAAUGUGGGGCAGAAGGUUUAUCUGAAGGUGCAGCAGGCAUUAUCUGCUAUAUGUACAAUCACUUCUGGCUACAAAUCAAAUGCGUCAUAUAAUAAAUCUGUCAACAAGCAGGAUGAUGGGCCGGAGGCAAAGCUGUCCACAUGCAGUCGAAUUUUUGCCCAUCGAGCUCUAUAGAAAACUCUUGUUGUGUCGAUUUUCUUGCAGAAAAUACCAAUCGGUAACACGUGACCCGCUGUUUGUCUCGUAUCUGUCCUGUCAUCUCUGUUUGUGCUCCGUCACGUUAAGACGGCAUUUCCCGCCCCCGUGAUUGUUCUCUAAUUCUUUUCUCUGAUAUCGGCCAGAUGGUUUUUUUUAUCACUUCCAUGAACCCUGAUUGAUUCUUUGGGCAAAGCAUGUUCCAUUACCGAGAAUUACUCACCCGUCGAUGGGCACGGGAGAGCAGGAUAUUAAUCAGUGUAACCUUUGUCACUAACAACCUUGUUAUUCGUUCAAAGCCAAACAAACUGUGAAUUUGGCUUUGUUUGAGGCUCAUUAUUAAGAGCGGCGGAGAGCAGGCAUUUUACAUUGCUAUUGAUCAUGUGUGAAGACAGGCCUACACAGUCGAUACCCACAGCCAAUGAAAAAUGGUGUGAUCUUUUUUUCUUUUCUUUUCCUUUUUUAAUGACUGCAUCCUGCAGAGAAAAACAGAGAGCUGCAGCUCCGUGAACAGCCUUUUAUCAGAUGUGCACAAUACUGGGAACGUUUGGUCAGAGGUGGAGAGAAAGCAACAGGAAAAUUGCUGUAUUCUAACGCACAGUUUGAGGUGCACUUUACAGAUUUGGGAAACUUUUUCUCCUUAUAGUCUCAUCUGACACUUAGCUGUAUCUGAUGCUUCAACGUGCUGAUGGGAUGAGCCGGGGAUGUGACCAUCGAGCCUGUGAUCAGUGGACAACUUGCUCCACUGCCUGGGCUUCAGCCACCCCCGCUGCUCACCAUAUACUAUGAAAAAUAUGACGCAUUACAUUUAAGGGUCGUUGUCUUCACUGGAUUGUUUUUAACUUUAACUUUUUUUCUUCUUCAGUUUUCACAAUUUGAUGUUGAGAAUAUUUCACCAUGAAAACUGUUGCUUGUGGAGCAGACACAGAGAAAAGAAACAGUCAACAGAUAUGUGUGCAGACAGAUUCUGAGGAUCCGGCCCCCUCCUGUCAGUCUCUGCGCAACACUCCUGACAGCUCCAUUUCAGAAAUAAAAAACAGAUCUUCCAAGACGAUUGCAGACCUAUCGACGGACAGUCAUCCAGUCUUGUAACCAAAUCGGGUGCAGUGCUACAUUCCACCUUGUUGCGCCCUCUGUAUGUGCUUUCCCUCCAUCCAUCGUCUACCGCUUCAUCCAUUUAAGGGUCACGGGGGGGCUGGAGCCAAUCCCAGCUAACAUUGGGCGAGAGGCGGGGUACACCCUGGACAGGUCGCCAGCCUAUCGCAGGACGGACAACCAUUCACUCUCACAUUCACUUUAGGUCAAUUUAGAGUCUCCGAUGAACCUAACCCCAUUCUGCAUGAUUUUGGACUGUGGGAGGAAGCCGGAGAACCCGGAGAGAACCCACGCAUACACGAGGAGAACAUGCAAACUCCACACAGAAAGGCCCUGGUUGGUUUGAACCGGGAUUCGAACCCAGAACCUUCUUGCUGUGAGGAGAAAGUGCUAACCACUACACCACCGUGCAGCCCUGCAUGUGCUUUGUGUUGCAAAACCAUUGUUUUUCAAGUAAAGUCCACCAGUAGGAAUACCAGGAGGCUUUUCCUGUUGAAAAAAAUUGCAGAUGUCACAGUGUCCAGUGGUAACUGGUGUGUCUUCAGCAUCAUGUGAGAGUUCCUCCAUGCAGUCAUAAGUCUUAUUGUGCAUUCAUUCCGUGUAUGAAUAAUCAGAAAAAUUGGUUCCUGACUUGAAAAUUCACGUGACUAAAGCCGGAACAAGAACAGCCAAAAUCUCGAGUUGCCUAGUUGCUGACGUCAUACACACAGGACCAUGGCAGAAGAAAGGGAGCGGUUGGUUGAUGGUAAGACAUUUUUUGAUUUUUUUUGCUAACAUUAAAACAAGUGCCUAACACCAUACUUUUUAGGCAAACAUUUUUAUGAUUAUUAUUAUUUAUUUUUUACAGUGUCAGGUUUUCCAAAUUCCGAAAUUCACAACUCGGGACAGAUGGGACCUUCCAAGGAGCACGUGAAUGCACAAUGAACUCCCAUCAUCACCAGCAUGUUAUGGUAAGGAACGAAAAAUUUGGUGAGUUUGGCCCAUGAUAAAUUUAGAGAAAGAUAUAGAGACUUGUGGGUGAAUGGGUGGUAACGAUUAACU
ensembl:lncRNA